GUAAAUAAGAAGCAGACAAUAGAAAGGUCUGAACUCUUGGCAGAGUGAUAAGGCUUCAGCUGGGCUGGUGUAUGCCUGACAUGAACAACUUAGAAGAGAAAAAGUUAUUGAGGCUCGCAGUUUCAGAGGUUCAGUCCAUGAUCAGCAGACUCCUUUGCUCUGGGCCCAAAGUGAAGUAGAACAUCAUGGGAGGAGGACUCCACAGAGGAAAUCUGAUCUCAUGACAGCCAGGAAGCAGAGAGAGAGACCUCAAGGUUACAGGAAUGAAAUAUGAACCCCAAAGUCAUGCCCUGAGCCACACCUCCUCUUCACCUCUUCCUACUUCCUCCUGCCACACCCUUCCUGCCUAGGGUCACCACCCAGGUCAUCACCUCUAGUCUUUUCAAAUUGUUAAUCCAUUAAAUGUAUUAAUCCACUGAUGAGGUUAAACAGGUCUCAUGAUCUGAUCAUUUCACACCUGAACAUUACUGCAUUGUCUCACACAUGAGUCUUGUCAGGGACACCACAUAUCUAAACCGUGAAGCUACCCAAGAAGUGCCUGACACAGUUAGAGUACAGCCUCUACAGAGGCCUGUCCCAGGGGGUGUCUGUGCAAGAGACUUACAUGGGGCUUAAAAGGCUCUGGUUUCCAACCCUGAUCAGGCACAGCAUGGUUUGAAAGAAAGAGCACCAGAACAGGACAUAGGGUUCCCAGGACUCCAACCUGGAUUCACCAAAACUCUCUGGAGUCACUUGGUGCCACUUUCCCCCUGUUUUCUCCUCCCCCAAAUGAAGUGUUUUGCUGACCAUAAAUGUAAUUUGAGAUCAAUGUAAGAUUAAAGGCUUUAAUGUCAACCAAAAAGUAUUCAAAUAAAUCUUAGCUCUGCAUCUUUCAAAUGAUUUUGAAUGAUUUGGGGUAAAUUACUUGACCUAGAUGAGCUUCAUUUUCCUCCUGUGUUAUCUUCCUAAGUUGCCAUGAGAAAUAAAUGAGGGGGCUUGAAAAAUGUUCAUCACAGUGGCC
rnacentral:lncRNA from 1 species